AUACUUUAUAAUACCCUUCAUAAUAAACGGAUAAACAUUGUUCCAUUAUGGAUGGAGGGGAUGAUGGUUACCUUGUUACCAAAAAGAGGUUUGUGUCUGAGGCAGAACUAGAUGAACGGCGCAAAAGGAGGCAAGAAGAAUGGGAGAAAGUUCGAAAACCUGAAGAUCCACAAGAAUGUCCAGAGGAGGCUUAUGACCCUCGGUCUCUAUAUGAAAGGCUGCAGGAACAGAAAGACAGGAAGCAGCAGGAGUAUGAGGAGCAGUUCAAAUUCAAAAACAUGGUAAGAGGCUUAGACGAAGAUGAGACCAACUUCCUUGAUGAGGUUUCUCGGCAGCAGGAACUAAUAGAAAAGCAACGAAGAGAAGAAGAACUGAAAGAACUGACAGAAUACAGAAAUAAUCUCAAGAAGGUUGGAAUUUCUUCAGAAAACAAGAAGGAAGUGGAGAAGAAAGUGGCUGUGAAACCCAUAGACACCAAGAACAAGUUCUCCCAGGCGAAGCUGUUGGCAGGAGCUGUGAAGCAUAAGAGAGGCUUCGUCCUGCAAGUCUCUUGGGAACACUUCCCUGAGCGGCCCCUCCACCCACUGCCCCUCAGCCGCAGUCUGCAUUGGCAUCCUCCCAGGCUUGGGCGCCUACUCUGGGAGCAGCGACUCUGAAUCCAGCUCAGACAGUGAAGGCACCAUCAACGCCACCGGGAAGAUCGUCUCCUCCAUUUUCCAAACCAACACCUUCCUCGAGGACCCUAGCUCCUCUGUCCUUCCCAGAGGGAGCUGCUCCCCAAGGGUAGAUCGGACCGUUCAUUCUGCCUCCAGGCAUCACAUCUCUCAAAAAACUCCUUUGCCUGCUUCCUGUGUACACUGUGACACUUUUAACCUAAUCUAAAAACAUGCCAGAAUC